rnacentral:rRNA from 1 species
CCUACGGGAGGCUGCAGUGGGGAAUAUUGCACAAUGGGCGCAAGCCUGAUGCAGCCAUGCCGCGUGUGUGAAGAAGGCCUUCGGGUUGUAAAGCACUUUCAGCGGGGAGGAAGGCGUUAAGGUUAAUAACCUUGUCGAUUGACGUUACCCGUAGAAGAAGCACCGGCUAACUCCGUGCCAGCAGCCGCGGUAAUACGGAGGGUGCAAGCGUUAAUCGGAAUUACUGGGCGUAAAGCGCACGCAGGCGGUCUGUCAAGUCGGAUGUGAAAUCCCCGGGCUCAACCUGGGAACUGCAUUCGAAACUGGCAGGCUAGAGUCUUGCAGAGGGGGGUAGAAUUCCAGGUGUAGCGGUGAAAUGCGUAGAGAUCUGGAGGAAUACCGGUGGCGAAGGCGGCCCCCUGGACAAAGACUGACGCUCAGGUGCGAAAGCGUGGGGAGCAAACAGGAUUAGAUACCCCGGUAGUC